rnacentral:lncRNA from 1 species
GCUGCAUGGAGUAGUAGUAAUCAUCAAGAACAUGGGGAUUUUGAAGCGUCAAAUGAUUAUCAAAGUAGUCAAGUUCAGGGUGAAGAUCAUGAUAGGAUGCAUGAAAUGGUUACUGAUGCAUUUCAUGAAACACAUGCUAAUACUGUUGAGGAGCCCAAUGCAGAUGCGAAACGCUUUUAUGAUAUGUUAAACGCAGCAAAACAGCCUCUUUACGAGGGAUGUAGGGAAG